rnacentral:rRNA from 1 species
CACGUAGGGGGCAAGCGUUGUCCGGAUUUACUGGGCGUAAAGAGCUCGUAGGCGGUUCAGCAAGUCGGAUGUGACAAUUCCAGGCUCAACCUGGAGAGGUCAUUCGAUACUGCUGUGACUAGAGUCCGGUAGGGGAGUGUGGAAUUCCCGGUGUAGCGGUGGAAUGCGCAGAUAUCGGGAGGAACACCAGUGGCGAAGGCGGCACUCUGGGCCGGAACUGACGCUGAGGAGCGAAAGCGUGGGGAGCGAA